rnacentral:rRNA from 1 species
CCUACGGGAGGCUGCAGUGGGGAAUAUUGGGCAAUGGGCUCAAGCCUGACCCAGCAACGCCGCGUGAAGGAAGAAGGCUUUCGGGUUGUAAACUUCUUUUCUCAGGGACGAAGCAAGUGACGGUACCUGAGGAAUAAGCCACGGCUAACUACGUGCCAGCAGCCGCGGUAAUACGUAGGUGGCAAGCGUUAUCCGGAUUUACUGGGUGUAAAGGGCGUGUAGGCGGGAAAGCAAGUCAGAUGUGAAAACCAUGGGCUCAACCUGUGGCCUGCAUUUGAAACUGUUUGUCUUGAGUACUGGAGAGGCAGACGGAAUUCCUAGUGUAGCGGUGAAAUGCGUAGAGAUGAGGAGGAACACCAGUGGCGAAGGCGGUCUGCUGGACAGCAACUGACGCUGAGGCACGAAAGCGUGGGUAUCAAACAGGAUUAGAUACCCCAGUAGUC